rfam:Enterococcus sp. 10A9_DIV0425 scaffold00005, whole genome shotgun sequence.
GGGCCUAUAGCUCAGCUGGUUAGAGCGCACGCCUGAUAAGCGUGAGGUCGAUGGUUCGAGUCCAUUUAGGCCCA